rnacentral:misc_RNA from 1 species
CGGCUAGAAGCGCAGGACUUAGCUAGUACUAUUGGUCUGUGGAGUCUAGAUCGAUUCCUCGCUCACUCUCUUCUUCUUUUUCGAGUUUUGAGAUUCCAAAUUUCAAUUAGAUGAGGCUCUUGCAGUUUGGUUUUUUAGUUGCUUUGGCAUCUGGCCUAUCGGCGAUCCUCAUCUAUAUCACCGGCGUCUCCUCCAAUCUAAAUGCGAUCCACCAGCUAUCGCAUGAAGAUGUAGAAGCAUUAGAAUCUCUGCAGAGUAGUUUCCGGAAGUGCGUGAAUGCAAAUGGAUUAGGUUUACGAGCUGUUAGUGGUAGCGAUCAUUGCCAAGUCAUAAUAAACUUUCCUAGUGACACUGUCCCUAAAUGGAGAGAUCCAAAAACUGGAGAA